rnacentral:rRNA from 1 species
CCUACGGGAGGCUGCAGUGGGGAAUAUUGGACAAUGGGGGCAACCCUGAUCCAGCCAUGCCGCGUGUGUGAAGAAGGCCCUCGGGUUGUAAAGCACUUUCAGUGAGGAAGAACGCCUGGUGGUUAAUACCCAUCAGGAAAGACAUCACUCACAGAAGAAGCACCGGCUAACUCCGUGCCAGCAGCCGCGGUAAUACGGAGGGUGCGAGCGUUAAUCGGAAUUACUGGGCGUAAAGCGCGCGUAGGUGGCUUGAUAAGCCGGUUGUGAAAGCCCCGGGCUCAACCUGGGAACGGCAUCCGGAACUGUCAAGCUAGAGUGCAGGAGAGGAAGGUGGAAUUCCCGGUGUAGCGGUGAAAUGCGUAGAGAUCGGGAGGAAUACCAGUGGCGAAGGCGGCCUUCUGGACUGACACUGACACUGAGGUGCGAAAGCGUGGGUAGCAAACAGGAUUAGAUACCCGGGUAGUC